GACAGAGGUGCCAAGCGUUAGGCGGAAUCACUGGGCUUAAAGCGUGUGUAGGCGGAUCGUUAAGUACCUUGUGAAAUCCCACGGCUCAACCGUGGAACUGCUGGGUAUACUGGCGAUCUUGAGCCACCUAGGGGCGAGCGGAACAAGCGGUGGAGCGGUGAAAUGCGUAGAUAUCGGGAAGAACACCUAUGGCGAAGGCAGCUCUCUGGGACGGUACUGACGCUGAGACGCGAAAGCGUGGGGAGCGAACAGG
rnacentral:rRNA from 1 species